rnacentral:rRNA from 1 species
GACGAACGCUGGCGGCGUGCUUAACACAUGCAAGUCGAACGGAAAGGCCCUGCUUUUGUGGGGUGCUCGAGUGGCGAACGGGUGAGUAACACGUGAGUAACCUGCCCUUGACUUUGGGAUAACUUCAGGAAACUGGGGCUAAUACCGGAUAGGAGCUCCUGCUGCAUGGUGGGGGUUGGAAAGUUUCGGCGGUUGGGGAUGGACUCGCGGCUUAUCAGCUUGUUGGUGGGGUAGUGGCUUACCAAGGCUUUGACGGGUAGCCGGCCUGAGAGGGUGACCGGCCACAUUGGGACUGAGAUACGGCCCAGACUCCUACGGGAGGCAGCAGUGGGGAAUAUUGCACAAUGGGCGGAAGCCUGAUGCAGCAACGCCGCGUGCGGGAUGACGGCCUUCGGGUUGUAAACCGCUUUCGCCUGUGACGAAGCGUGAGUGACAGUAAUGGGUAAAGAAGCACCGGCUAACUACGUGCCAGCAGCCGCGGUGAUACGUAGGGUGCGAGCGUUGUCCGGAUUUAUUGGGCGUAAAGGGCUCGUAGGUGGUUGAUCGCGUCGGAAGUGUAAUCUUGGGGCUUAACCCUGAGCGUGCUUUCGAUACGGGUUGACUUGAGGAAGGUAGGGGAGAAUGGAAUUCCUGGUGGAGCGGUGGAAUGCGCAGAUAUCAGGAGGAACACCAGUGGCGAAGGCGGUUCUCUGGGCCUUUCCUGACGCUGAGGAGCGAAAGCGUGGGGAGCGAACAGGCUUAGAUACCCUGGUAGUCCACGCUGUAAACGGUGGGUACUAGGUGUGGGGUCCAUUCCACGGGUUCCGUGCCGUAGCUAACGCUUUAAGUACCCCGCCUGGGGAGUACGGCCGCAAGGCUAAAACUCAAAGGAAUUGACGGGGCCCCGCACAAGCGGCGGAGCAUGCGGAUUAAUUCGAUGCAACGCGUAGAACCUUACCUGGGUUUGACAUGGAUCGGGAGCGCUCAGAGAUGGGUGUGCCUCUUUUGGGGUCGGUUCACAGGUGGUGCAUGGCUGUCGUCAGCUCGUGUCGUGAGAUGUUGGGUUAAGUCCCGCAACGAGCGCAACCCUUGUUCACUGUUGCCAGCACGUUAUGGUGGGGACUCAGUGGAGACCGCCGGGGUCAACUCGGAGGAAGGUGGGGAUGACGUCAAGUCAUCAUGCCCCUUAUGUCCAGGGCUUCACGCAUGCUACAAUGGCUGGUACAGAGAGUGGCGAGCCUGUGAGGGUGAGCGAAUCUCGGAAAGCCGGUCUCAGUUCGGAUUGGGGUCUGCAACUCGACCUCAUGAAGUCGGAGUCGCUAGUAAUCGCAGAUCAGCAACGCUGCGGUGAAUACGUUCCCGGG